rnacentral:rRNA from 1 species
AUGUCCUCAUACAACACGUCGUUUCAGCCCGGAGAGGCCGUGGCCCCGUGCUGCAGCACAACGACGCUGCUCAGCGCGUUGGCGGCAUCCUUCGCCUGCUGCUUCUUCCUCGUCGUCAUCUUCCUCUGCCUGCGCUUCCUCCACCUUCGCCGCACGCGGCGCCACAGCGCACAGCCCCUGCAAGGGCAGCCCCAGGCCCCACAGCCCAAGCACGGCCUCGACGCCGCCACCAUCGCGCUCUUCCCGUCCUUUCCGUACCGGCGGGACAGCUCGGCAUCGGCGCCGGACGAGUGCGCCGUGUGCCUCAGCGCGGUCGACGAGGGGGAGACGGUGAGGCAGCUCCCGAGCUGCAAGCACCUGUUCCACCAGGAGUGCGUCGACGUCUGGCUCCUGUCCAACGCGUCGUGCCCGGUCUGCCGUGGGAAGGUCGAGCGGGCCGCGGGCGCCGAUCAGCACGAGAGAGCUGCGGCAUCAGCAGCCGUCGUGCCAAUUGAGAUGAUGGACGAUGAAACGCCGUCGACGUCAGAGCCGUCCGUGCCGGAGCGGCCGGGCUGGUUUGGCGGGCGAGCCUCCGGCUCCCGCUCCGGCCAGGAAACGGACUUGGAGCGGCAAUAG